ACUUCAGCGACGGACUGGAAAAAGAGGAGUGGGAGUUAAGCAGCAGGCCCUCGCGCAAGCCAGCAGCUGCAGCCUGAAUGAUACUGAAGCGCGACCGCCGGUCAAACUGGAGGAAAAAUGGCGGAGGCUCUCAUCCGGGGUUCUCCAUGUUUCUUCCCACCUCUCAAAAACAUGCCACUUGAUGGAUGGGAUUAAGUGACCCCUGGUGUAAAUGUGUGUGUAAGUGUGUAUGUGCAUGGUGCCCUCGGCCUGGACCUGGACCGGUGUGUCACUCGGGUGUAUUAACAGCAUUUACUGUAAAUGAGUCCCUCAAUAAAAUAAAAAUAAAAGCAAACAAAUUUUA